rnacentral:rRNA from 1 species
UACAGAGGUCUCAAGCGUUGUUCGGAUUCAUUGGGCGUAAAGGGUGCGUAGGUGGCAUGGUAAGUCGGAUGUGAAAUCCCGGGCUCAACCCCGGAACUGCAUUCGAUACUGCUGAGCUAGAGUACUGGAGAGGAGAUUGGAAUUUACGGUGUAGCAGUGAAAUGCGUAGAUAUCGUAAGGAAGACCAGUGGCGAAGGCGGGAUCUCUGGACAGUUCAGCGCUGAGGCACGAAGGUCCAGGGGAGCAAAACGGGG